rnacentral:rRNA from 1 species
GACGAACGCUGGCGGCGUGCCUAACACAUGCAAGUCGAGCGGUUGAGCUUGGUUCUCGCCCCGAUUUGCCGGCCAGCGGGCGGGUGAGUCAUGCGUAUCUCCUCUGCCUUUGGGCGGGACACCCCGUUUCGGGCCGUAUUCUAAUACCCCAUCACAGCUUUAAACAUAGGUUUUUUGUUUUCUAGCUCCAUUAGCUUCACUCAAAUCUGAUCCCGCGUUGGAUUAGCUAGUUGGUGAGGUAAAGGCUCACCAAGGCGAUGAUACAUAGCCGACCUGAGAGGGUGAUCGGCCACAUUGGGACUGAGACACGGUCCAGACUCCUACGGGAGGCAGCAGUAGGGAAUCUUCGGCAAUGGACGAAAGCCUGACCGAGCAACGCCGCGUGAGUGAAGAAGGUUUUCGGAUCGUAAAGCUCUGUUGGUAGAGAAGAACGGGAGUGAGAGUGGAAAGCGCAGUAAGGAAGGGAAAAAAAGAAGAAACGCAGGGUAAAUUCGGG